rnacentral:pre_miRNA from 15 species
GGCCAUGUAGAGAUGUCUUCUUCUGGAAGCUGGUUUCACAUGGUGGCUUAGAUUUUCCCAUCUUUGUAUCUAGCACCAUUUGAAAUCAGUGUUCUAGGAGCAAGAAUUGCAGCAUGGGAAAA